UACAGAGGGUGCGAGCGUUGUCCGGAAUCACUGGGCGUAAAGGGCGCGUAGGCGGCGCGGUAAGCGUGCGGUGAAAGCCCGGGGCUCAACCCCGGGUCGGCCGUGCGGACUGCCGGGCUGGAGCACUGUAGAGGCAGGUGGAAUUCCGGGUGUAGCGGUGGAAUGCGUAGAGAUCCGGAAGAACACCGGUGGCGAAGGCGGCCUGCUGGGUUCUGGCUGACACUGAGGCGCGACAGCGUGGGGAGCAAACAGG
rnacentral:rRNA from 1 species